UACAAAGGUUAAAUUGUGGUCCAGACAGU
rnacentral:piRNA from 1 species